rnacentral:misc_RNA from 1 species
GAUGAAGAACGCAGCGAAAUGCGAUAAGUAAUGUGAAUUGCAGAAUUCAGUGAAUCAUCGAAUCUUUGAACGCUCAUUGCGCCCGCCAGUAUUCUGGCGGGCAUGCCUGUUCGAGCGUCAUUUCAACCAUCAAGCCCCAGGCUUGUGUUGGGGACCUGCGGCUGCCGCAGGCCCUGAAAACCAGUGGCGGGCUCGCUGUCACACCGGGCGUAGUAGAUUUUAUCUCGCUCAGGGCGUGCUGCGGGUUCCGGCCGUUAAAAAGCCUUUUUUACCCAAGGUUGACCUCGGAUCAGGUAGGAAGACCCGCUGAACUUAAGCAUAUCAAUAAGCGGAGGA